GUUGAUCAUGGCUCAGGAUGAACGCUAGCGACAGGCUUAACACAUGCAAGUCGAGGGGCAUCACGGGAGUAGCAAUACAACUGGUGGCGACCGGCGCACGGGUGAGUAACGCGUAUGCAACCUACCUAUCAGAGGGGAAUAACCCCGGCGAAAGUCGGACUAAUACCGCAUAAAACAGGGGCACCGCAUGGUGAUAUUUGUUAAAGAAAUUCGCUGAUAGAUGGGCAUGCGUUCCAUUAGGUAGUUGGUGAGGUAACGGCUCACCAAGCCGACGAUGGAUAGGGGAACUGAGAGGUUGGUCCCCCACACUGGUACUGAGACACGGACCAGACUCCUACGGGAGGCAGCAGUGAGGAAUAUUGGUCAAUGGGCGGGAGCCUGAACCAGCCAAGUCGCGUGAAGGGAAAAGAAGGAUCUAUGGUUCGUAAACUUCUUUUGCGAGGGGAAUAAAGUGCAGGACGUGUCCUGUUUUGUAUGUACCCUGAGAAUAAGGAUCGGCUAACUCCGUGCCAGCAGCAGC
rnacentral:rRNA from 1 species